rnacentral:rRNA from 1 species
AUUGAACGCUGGCGGAAUGCUUUACACAUGCAAGUCGAACGGCAGCACGGACUUCGGUCUGGUGGCGAGUGGCGAACGGGUGAGUAAUGUAUCGGAACGUGCCCAGUCGUGGGGGAUAACGUAGUGAAAAUUACGUUAAUACCGCAUACGAUCUAUGGAUGAAAGCGGGGGAUCGCAAGACCUCGCGCAAUUGGAGCGGCCGAUAUCAGAUUAGGUAGUUGGUGGGGUAAAGGCCCACCAAGCCAACGAUCUGUAGCUGGUCUGAGAGGACGACCAGCCACACUGGAACUGAGACACGGUCCAGACUCCUACGGGAGGCAGCAGUGGGGAAUUUUGGACAAUGGGCGAAAGCCUGAUCCAGCCAUUCCGCGUGCAGGAUGAAGGCCCUCGGGUUGUAAACUGCUUUUGUACAGAACGAAAAGGUUUCUACUAAUACUAGGAGCUCAUGACGGUACUGUAAGAAUAAGCACCGGCUAACUACGUGCCAGCAGCCGCUGUAA